UACGAAGGGGGCUAGCGUUGCUCGGAAUCACUGGGCGUAAAGCGCACGUAGGCGGACUCUUAAGUCGGUGGUGAAAUCCUGGAGCUCAACUCCAGAACUGCCUUCGAUACUGGGAGUCUCGAGUUCGGGAGAGGGAUGCGGAAUUCCAGGUGUAGCGGUGAAAUGCGCAGAUAUCAGGAGGAACACCGGUGGCGAAGGCGGAUCUCUGGGCCGAUACUGACGCUGAGGAGCGAAAGCGUGGGGAGCGAACAGGA
rnacentral:rRNA from 1 species